rnacentral:lncRNA from 1 species
AAACUUAUAUCUAAUUAAUUUUCAGUUUGCUAUUAUGGAGCUAAAGUUGCUAAGUAUAAAAUUAUGAAAAUAUCGUUCUUUACCGGCUUAAGUUUUUAUACCGGCUUAAGUUUUUAUAGAAAAUAACGAUUGUUUCGUAUUAUUUAACAUAAUAUCAGAGUAGGAGGUUAUGAAUUCGAGUCACGCCAAGUUUCUAGUAUUAUUAAUUUUCUUCAAUUUAGUUUAAAUUCAUGUCAUAAGUCUAUCAAAAAAUUUUGAAUCUAAAUAUAAUUUAAACUUUUAGAGUAGGGUUGUUUCACAAAAAUUA